GUUUUUAUUAGUUCCUGCCUUGCAUGGAACUAUUGCCGAUGGGGCAGUCAUUAACUGUUUAUUAAUCCUUAACUCUUCUUUUUUCGGGUUUUUAUUAGUUUUUGCCUUGCAUGGAACUAUUGCCGAGGGGAAGCCAUUAACUGUUUAUUAAUCCUUAACUCUUCUUUUAAAAUAAGAGAAAAAAACAAAGAGGGGAGCUUUCCUGGUUGUUUCCAAUACCAUGAUUUUUCUUACUUUGUCGUGUUUUUGUUGACAGUUAUUUUACAUGUAAAUGCAAUGUGGUCCCUUAAAAUAUAGGACAGGUAUUCAUGAGGAAGUGGUCUUGCUUCACCACUUAAUAGUGCUUCGGAUUCAUCGGAAGACUUGGUCAUGGAGGAGUUAGUGAACUCAGCCAAAAUUUAAAGAAAACAAUGGUGUUGAUGGAUCAUCCCAGAAAAACUUUCUAGAUGUUUCUCAUUGUGAUAUUUGAACCAGGGGACCGUAGAAUGAGUUAAGACUGGACGCGAUGUAAAGAUGUUGAGGUUUAAUGAAGUAAUAAGCUAACAUUCUUGCAAAGUAUCAACCUCUAAUCACAGAUGGACAAAGUACACCAGGUGCCUCUCAGAAGCCUGAACUAGCCUCAACAACUAUCCAUGGCGGGCAACUCAGUAAGGAAGAAAUGGAACAUGGGACGAAGUUACAUAGUGAGUACAGGUGACUUGACACCCUCUAGUAAUGGAAAUUAUUUUUUUCUCGUUUGUUUGGUAGACUUUUUGCAUUGCCACUCAAGUUGACAGUCUUUGAUCUGCAAGAAUUGAUUUUAAACUUCUUAAUGUACAUAUUUCAUUUCUCUUA